UACGUAGGCAGCAAGCGUUGUUCGGAGUUACUGGGCGUAAAGAGUGCGUAGGCGGUCCUCUAAGUUCGGUGUGAAAUCUCCCGGCUCAACUGGGAGGGUGCGCCGGAAACUGGAGGGCUUGAGUAUGGGAGAGGAAAGCGGAAUUCCUGGUGUAGCGGUGAAAUGCGUAGAUAUCAGGAGGAACACCUGUGGUGUAGACGGCUUUCUGGACCAUGACUGACGCUGAGGCACGAAAGCGUGGGGAGCAAACAGGAUUAGAUACCCUGGUAGUCCACGCCCUAAACGAUGCAUACUUGGUGUGGGCCGUUCAGUCGGUCUGUGCCGGAGCUAACGCGUUAAGUAUGCCGCCUGGGGAGUACGGUCGCAAGGCUGAA
rnacentral:rRNA from 1 species